CGUGAAUUCAUCUCCGGGGGUAGAGCACUGUUUCGGCAAGGGGGUCAUCCCGACUUACCAACCCGAUGCAAACUGCGAAUACCGGAGAAUGUUAUCACGGGAGACACACGGCGGGUGCUAACGUCCGUCGUGAAGAGGGAAACAACCCAGACCGCCAGCUAAGGUCCCAAAGUCAUGGUUAAGUGGGAAACGAUGUGGGAAGGCCCAGACAGCCAGGAUGUUGGCUUAGAAGCAGCCAUCAUUUAAAGAAAGCGUAAUAGCUCACUGGUCGAGUCGGCCUGCGCGGAAGAUGUAACGGGGCUAAACCAUGCACCGAAGCUGCGGCAGCGACGCUUAUGCGUUGUUGGGUAGGGGAGCGUUCUGUAAGCCUGUGAAGGUGUACUGUGAGGUAUGCUGGAGGUAUCAGAAGUGCGAAUGCUGACAUAAGUAACGAUAAAGCGGGUGAAAAGCCCGCUCGCC
rnacentral:rRNA from 1 species